AGUGAACGCUGGCGGUAGGCCUAACACAUGCAAGUCGAACGGCAGCACAGUAAGAGCUUGCUCUUACGGUUGGCGAGUGGCGGACGGGUGAGGAAUACAUCGGAAUCUACUUUUUCGUGGGGGAUAACGUAGGGAAACUUACGCUAAUACCGCAUACGACCUACGGGUGAAAGCAGGAGAUCUUCGCACCUUGCGCGAUUGAAUGAGCCGAUGUCGGAUUAGCUAGUUGGCGGGGUAAAGGCCCACCAAGGCGACGAUCCGUAGCUGGUCUGAGAGGAUGAUCAGCCACACUGGAACUGAGACACGGUCCAGACUCCUACGGGAGGCAGCAGUGGGGAAUAUUGGACAAUGGGCGCAAGCCUGAUCCAGCCAUACCGCGUGGGUGAAGAAGGCCUUCGGGUUGUAAAGCCCUUUUGUUGGGAAAGAAAAGCAGCAGGUGAAUACCCCGCUGUUCUGACGGUACCCAAAGAAUAAGCACCGGCUAACUUCGUG
rnacentral:rRNA from 1 species